rnacentral:rRNA from 1 species
AUUGAACGCUGGCGGCAUGCCUUACACAUGCAAGUCGAACGGCAGCACGGGGCAACCUGGUGGCGAGUGGCGAACGGGUGAGUAAUGCAUCGGAACGUACCUUUCAGUGGGGGAUAACGUAGCGAAAGUUACGCUAAUACCGCAUAUUCUGUGAGCAGGAAAGCAGGGGAUCGCAAGACCUUGCGCUGAUUGAGCGGCCGAUGUCAGAUUAGCUAGUUGGUGAGGUAAAGGCUCACCAAGGCGACGAUCUGUAGCGGGUCUGAGAGGAUGAUCCGCCACACUGGAACUGAGACACGGUCCAGACUCCUACGGGAGGAAGCAGUGGGGAAUUUUGGACAAUGGGGGCAACCCUGAUCCCGCCAUGCCGCGUGAGUGAAGAAGGCCUUCGGGUUGUAAAGCUCUUUCGGCCGGGAAGAAAUCGCACGGGCUAAUACCCUGUGUGGAUGACGGUACCGGAAUAAGAAGCACCGGCUAACUACGUGCCAGCCGCCGCGGUAAAAC